UUUGUUUAUAAGCUUUGGUAUAUAAGCUCAUAAAAUCUCAAUUAGAUCAUUUGUCAGUUAUUUCCACGGCAGGCACCACACCAAAACCCUCCCAUUCCAAUAUCCUUGGAGAAUAUGAGUAGUUUAACGUCUUUAUAUUUAUUUGGUAACCAACUUACAGGGAAAGUGCCUUGUCCUGCAUUAUCUUCUUCCUGAACAAACUUAGAUCUGUUUGGUAAUAUUUUUAAUGCUACCAUUACCCAAUGCAUAGGAAGCCUUUCCAAACUUGAAUAUUUGUAUCUUGGUUCAAACAACUUUGAAGACAUAAUCACCGAAUCCUGUUUCUCUAAUCUUUCCCAAUUACAAGAGUUGUACUUGUCUUCCAACCCAGGCAUCUCCUUCAAUAUCAUGUUAGGAUGGAAUCUUCCUUUUCAACUGACACAUGUAUCUUUAGCGGACUGCAAAGUGGGUCCACAUUUUUCCAUAUGGCUUAGAACACAAACAAGAUUAGAGGAUCUUGAUAUCUCUAAUGCUGAAAUUUCAGGCACCUUCCCUGAUCGUUUUUGGGAGUUAAGUCCAAAAUUAUGGAUUUUAAAUGUAUCACAUAACAAUUUUCUUGGUGUCCUUCCAGAUUUGUCGCUAAAGUUCUCUAUUUUUGAUUCGAUAGAUCUAAGCUUUAAUCAUUUCAAUGGUUCAUUACCAAUUUUGCCUCUGAAUGGAUCUAUAGUUUAAUAUCUUUAUAUUUACAAGGUGAGAUUCCAAUAUCCUUGGGGAAUAUGAGCAGUUUAAUGUCUUUAUAUUUACAUGAUAACCAACUCAAAGGGAAAGUGCCUUGUCCUGCAUUAUCUUCCUCAUUAACAGACUUGGUUUUUUCUUAUAAUAUGUUUAAUGGUACCAUUGCCCAAUGCAUAGGAAGCCUUUCUUAACUCGAAGCUUUGUUUCUUCGUUCAAACAACUUUGAAGACAUAAUCAUUGAAUCCCAUUUCUUUAAUCUUUCCUAAUUACAAGAGUUGUACUUGUCUUCCAACCCAGGCAUCUCCUUCAAUAUUAGUUUAGGAUGGAAUCCUCUUUUUCGAAUGAAACGAGUAUCUUUAGUGGACUACUAUGUGGGUCCACAUUUUCCCACAUGGCUUAGAACACAAACGAGAUUAAAGGAUCUUGAUAUCUCCAAUGCUGAAAUUUCAAGCACCUUCCCUGAUUGGUUUUGGGAGUCAAGUCCAAAAUUAUGAAGUUUAAAUGUAUCACAUAACAAUUUUCGUGGUGUCCUUCCGGAUUUAUCGCUAAAGUUCUCUACUUUUGAUUUGAUAGAUCUGAG
rnacentral:lncRNA from 1 species